rnacentral:lncRNA from 1 species
GGGCGUUUUCAUAAGCCUCAUGCCUAAUCUCUUCAAGUUCAUUUAAUUGGAGCUUUCUAUGAAUUCCAGCGGCGUCAAGGUCCAUGUUGAAUGUUUUGACGGCCCAAUGCGCCUUGUGCUCCAAUUCUACGGGAAGAUGGCAUGGUUUGCCAUAGAUGAACCGAAAUAGGGACAUGCCAAUGGGUGUUUUAUAUGCCGUACGAUAUGCCCACAACGCAUCCUCCAAACGCAAGCU